UGAAAAUCUUCAUUAUAUUUGCCAUGGUC
rnacentral:piRNA from 1 species